GGGACUGGUGGCUGCGGUAGCUCAUUGGCCUUUGGUCUCUUAGACGGUGGAGAAUAAUCAUCAUCUUGAAAAAGAAAAUGGUCAUUACUGGAAGAACCGUCUUACAGUUACAGUCACCUCCUGGUCAAUUCCCAACAUUCAAAAGCUAAAGAAACAGGCUCAGAGGAUGUUAUCUGAUUGGAUUAUGUUGUAUCUCUGGAGAGCACAGCUGAGAUCAGACUGUGUGUGUGUAACUCCACUAGACUACGAGGGUGCUUCUCAUAAAGGGUUGCAAGAUCAUAGUUCUCGGGGUGUUUAAAGGCAACACCUUCCGGAAGCCCCUGCACUACCACAGCCGACUGGUCUCGCAGCAUCUUCUCAUAUGGUACAGGUACCACUGUGGAUUUGCCUAAAGCUUUCCCUGGGGGAGAUGAAAAGCGGAUGAACAUCAUUCAAUGAAUGGUAAGAUUACAAAAUGAAAUCAUCGCUAGCUUAUUGUGGCUUAAUAAGGGCAUCCACGAUUUUUUAUAAUAUAUGAUUUCAAAAUUAAUUAAUACUACAGCAUUCUAUCUCCCCAUGUCAGCAGAAGGUCUAAACCUGAAACUGAUCCAAAGGGCCAAAAUGAAAAGUAGAUAAAAUAUUUUACUUUAAAAAACACACAGAGAGAGCAAUGGUUGGUUUCUUGCACUAUUGUCUUUCUUGAAGAUGGUCCCAUCCUGGCAUAUUCUCAGGUACAAUUUGGCCUCAGAAUACAGAAGCCCAGCACAUCCAACUAUUACCAUAAAAUACCAGGAAUGUUUCAGCUAAUAUUCUCAUUGAAAACUUAUCAGGUAAAUACAAACUUCCCAUUUACAAAUGAGUAUAUACUGUCAACCUAUUGGGCAGCGAGCCUCACACAUACUGAAAAUCCCAUUCCAGAGAACUGAUUUUCACCUAUGACCCUGCAGUAAAACCUCAAUCUCCUCCUUUGACUGUUUUCUUGUAAGAGCUUUGUUUUAUGAUGUGACAAGAGUAAGAAAAGGUGGCUUUGCAUGGAAUUAGAGAGAUGAGCAUGCUUAUUAGAAAGAAACAGCUAGGCCAGGCAUGGUGGCUCACACCUGUAAUCCCAGCACUUUGGGAGGCCAAGGUGGGUGGAUCACCUGAGAUCAGGAGUUCGAGACCAGCCUGGCGAAUGUGGUGAAACCCCAUCUCUACUAAAAUUUAACACAAAAA
rnacentral:antisense_RNA from 1 species